CCUACGGGAGGCAGCAGUGAGGAAUAUUUGUCAAUGGGGGAAACCCUGAUGCAGCGACGCCGCGUGAGUGAAGAAGUAUUUCGGUAUGUAAAGCUCUGUCAGCAGGGAAGAAAAUGACGGUACCUGACCAAGACGCCCCGGCUACCUACGUGCCAGCAUCCGCGGUAAUACGUAGGGGGCAAGCGUUAUCAGGAUUUACUGGGUGUAAAGGUAGCGUAGACGGCAGGGCAAGUCUGGAGUGAAAGGUGGGGGCUCAACCCCCGGACUGCUCUGGAAACUGCCAGGCUGGAGUGCAGGAGAGGUAAGUGGAAUUCCUGGUGUAGCAGUGAAAUGCGUAGAUAUUAGGAGGAACACCAGUGGCGAAGGCGGCUUACUGGACUGUAACUGACGUUGAGGCUCGAAAGCGAGAGGAGCGAAAAGGAUUAGAUACCCCAGUAGUC
rnacentral:rRNA from 1 species